UCGAGAAUCUUCGGCAAUGGGCGAAAGCCUGACCGAGCGACGCCGCGUGCGGGAUGAAGGCCCUCGGGUUGUAAACCGCUGUCAGAGGGGAAGAAAUUUUGACUUAUCCUCAGAGGAAGGGCGGGCUAAGUUCGUGCCAGCAGCCGCGGUAAGACGAACCGCCCAAACGUUAUUCGGAAUCACUGGGCUUAAAGGGUGCGUAGGCGGUGCAGUAAGUCGGGUGUGAAAUCCCUCGGCUCAACCGAGGAACUGCGCCCGAUACUGCUGUGCUUGAGGGAGACAGAGGUGAGCGGAACUGAUGGUGGAGCGGUGAAAUGCGUUGAUAUCAUCAGGAACACCGGUGGCGAAAGCGGCUCACUGGGUCUCUUCUGACGCUGAGGCACGAAAGCUAGGGGAGCGAACGGGAUUAGAUACCCCCGUAGUCC
rnacentral:rRNA from 1 species